UAACCAUGAUAUGGGCAAGUGGGUAGAAGGUCUUUGAAGCGCUCCCAAGCUUGGAAAAAUAAUUCAUUGCCUUUUUGGGAGAACAACAUAAUUUCUUGUUUCAGUGC